GACGAACGCUGGCGGCGUGCUUAACACAUGCAAGUCGAACGGAAAGGCCCUGCUUUUGUGGGGUGCUCGAGUGGCGAACGGGUGAGUAACACGUGAGUAACCUGCCCUUGACUUUGGGAUAACUUCAGGAAACUGGGGCUAAUACCGGAUAGGAGCUCCUGCUGCAUGGUGGGGGUUGGAAAGUUUCGGCGGUUGGGGAUGGACUCGCGGCUUAUCAGCUUGUUGGUGGGGUAGUGGCUUACCAAGGCUUGGACGGGUAGCCGGCCUGAGAGGGUGACCGGCCACAUUGGGACUGAGAUACGGCCCAGACUCCUACGGGAGGCAGCAGUGGGGAAUAGUGCACAAUGGGCGGAAGCCUGAUGCAGCAACGCCGCGUGCGGGAUGACGGCCUUCGGGUUGUAAACCGCUUUCGCCUGUGACGAAGCGUGAGUGACGGUAAUGGGUAAAGAAGCACCGGCUAACUACGUG
rnacentral:rRNA from 1 species